rnacentral:rRNA from 1 species
AGGACGAACGCUGGCGGCGUGCCUAAUACAUGCAAGUCGAACGGUCUUUCUAUGGAAGCUUGCUUCCACUGAGAAGAUAGUGGCGAACGGGUGAGUAACACGUGGGUAACCUGCCCAUAAGAGGGGGGAUAACAUCCGGAAACGGGUGCUAAUACCGCAUAGUUUCUUGAUCGCAUGAUUGAGAAAGGAAAGACGGCCUUUGUGCUGUCGCUUAUGGAUGGACCCGCGGCGUAUUAGUUAGUUGGUGAGGUAAUGGCUCACCAAGACGAUGAUACGUAGCCGACCUGAGAGGGUGAUCGGCCACAUUGGGACUGAGACACGGCCCAAACUCCUACGGGAGGCAGCAGUAGGGAAUCUUCCGCAAUGGACGAAAGUCUGACGGAGCAACGCCGCGUGAGUAGAAGAAGGUUUUCGGAUCGUAAAACUCUGUUGUCCGAGAAGAACAAGUUGGAGAGUAACUGCCCCAGCCUUGACGGUAUCUGACCAGAAAGCCACGGCUAACUACGUGCCAGCAGCGGC